rnacentral:misc_RNA from 1 species
AGAAGAAGAAGAAGAAGAAGAUUAUUAUGAUCCUUAUGAUUAUGAAGAUGGUGAUGGAGGGUUGGUUGAUGCACUAUGUGAAGGUAUUGGCAAGAUAAAUUUUAGUGAGAGUAAUACAGCGGCUGCUAAGUUCACAGGGAAGCAUACAAGAUUUAGGUACAAUAGUGAUGAUGAGAUUGUUGAACAAGAAAAAGUAGUAGCAGCGGCUGCUAUUUCAACACCAAGUGUUUUGCGCUUGAAGGGUCUGCCAACUCCCAAAGGGAGGCAUCUGCGCUUUCCUAAGGAAGAAGAAGGAGGAGGAGAAGAAAACUGAAGAAAUGAGCUUGAAGUGAGUUGGGUCGUUGUGUCUAACUCGACACAUUCUUUUGGGAUUGCUCCUUUGAUAGGUUUUUUUUCUUUGACACUCAAAGACUUAGAAACGAAAUAUUUAAGCGUGAGAUUUUAUUGAAAGAUCACAAAUUGGAAGUGGUUGUGGAACAAUUCUCUGUACUUGUUUUUAUUUGAUUAUCAAAGAUUAGUUCUGAU